rnacentral:ncRNA from 1 species
AAAAAGUUUAAAUUAAACUUAAUAUUUUAGUAUGUGUUUAUUUUACAUGUAAGUUUUAUCAUAAUAUGUUUUUAAUUUUAAAUAGGUUAAGAAUUUUAAGGUUGAUCGCAGUAAAAAGUUUUAAAUAUAAAAGUUAUUUUGAUUUAGUAAUACACAGAACAUUGAUAAAAUUUGUGCCAGCAUUCGCGGUUAUACAAAUAAUGUGUCUAAAAUUUGUUAGCUACAGUUAGUUAGUUUAAAGAUUUAGAUUUUUAAUUUUUUAGGUGAAAUUUGAAAUUAAUAUUUAUUUAAAUUUAAUUGAGGCUGGGAAAUUUUUUAUAUAAACUAGGAUUAGAUACCCUAUUAUUGAAAAUGUGAAUUUUAUUGCUAAGUUAGUAGUAGAUAUGUUCUUGAAAAUUAAAGAUUUUGGCGGUGUUUUAGUCUAUUUAGAGGAACCUGUUUUUUAAUUGAUAUCCCACAAUAUAUAUAACUUUUAUUAGAAUUUGCAUAUCGUUGUAGAAAAAUAUUUUGUAAGAAUUUUAAUAUUGAUAAUUUAUUUAAUAAAGGAGAUCAAAUCAAGAUGUAGUUUAUAUAAAAGGUAAAAUGGGUUACAAUAAAUUUAUUUAUAUGGAGUUUUAAUUGAAAAUUAAGAUGAAGGCGGAUUUGAAAGUAAUUUGAAUAAGUUAAUUUAAAUGAUUUUAGCUCUAAAACAUGCACAUAUUGCCCGUCGCUUUCAUUAUAAUGUGAAAUAAGUCGUAACAAAGUAGGUGUACUGGAAAGUGUACCUAGAAAGGC